rnacentral:tRNA from 1 species
GCCGGUAUAGCUCAGUCGGUAGAGCAACUGACUUGUAAUCAGUAGGUCCCGAGUUCGAUUCUUGGUGCCGGCACCA